GACGAACCGUGCAAACGUUGUUCGGAAUCACUGGGCUUAAAGGGCGCGUAGGCGGGUGACCAAGUCAAGGGUGAAAUCUUUCGGCUCAACCGGAAAAUGGCCUUUGAUACUGGUCGUCUCGAGGGAGGUAGGGGCAUGUGGAACUUCCGGUGGAGCGGUGAAAUGCGUUGAUAUCGGAAGGAACGCCGGUGGCGAAAGCGACGUGCUGGACCUCUUCUGACGCUGAUGCGCGAAAGCUAGGGGAGCGAACGGG
rnacentral:rRNA from 1 species